GACGAACGCUGGCGGCGUGCCUAAUACAUGCAAGUAGAACGCUGAAGGAGGAGCUUGCUUCUCUGGAUGAGUUGCGAACGGGUGAGUAACGCGUAGGUAACCUGCCUGGUAGCGGGGGAUAACUAUUGGAAACGAUAGCUAAUACCGCAUAAUAGUAGAUGUUGCAUGACAUUUGCUUAAAAGGUGCAAUUGCAUCACUACCAGAUGGACCUGCGUUGUAUUAGCUAGUUGGUGGGGUAACGGCUCACCAAGGCGACGAUACGUAGCCGACCUGAGAGGGUGAUCGGCCACACUGGGACUGAGACACGGCCCAGACUCCUACGGGAGGCAGCAGGAGGGAAACUUCGGCAAUGGACGGAAGUCUGACCGAGCAACGCCGCGGGAGUGGAGGAGGGUCUCGGAUCGGAAAGCUCUGUUGUAAGAGAAGAACGAGUGUGAGAGUGGAAAGUUCACACUGUGACGGUAUCUUACCAGAAAGGGACGGCUAACUACGUG
rnacentral:rRNA from 1 species